AAAAUAAUACAAUCUUUAUAUUACAAGCGAGGGGCCUCGAGGGCUCGAAUACAUCAGCUCGAAUACAAACGAGUCAGCGGAAGCAACAAUAUCUGAGUACAGACAUGAGUUAAACAAGUUUGCCUUAAGAAGGCUAGCACAAAAGCAACAUGAUCGAAAAGGCAAGGCCUCCUGCCUGGGAGCCUCCUAACUACUCCUGGUCGUCGACGGCCUCCACAUAGUAGUAGGCACCCUCGGGUUUGUAGUAGUCGUCGUCGAAGGUGGCAUCUGGCUCCUGGACUCCGUCAUUUCAUUGCGUCAUCCGAGAACAAUGGAAAAGAGGGAGCAAAGCAACAGUGAGUACUCAUCCAAAGUACUUGCAAGCAAGGAUCUACACUACAUAUGCAUCGAUGUCAAUUGAAAUGGGCUGUAUCUCUGGACUGAACUGCAGAAUGCCAGAAGAGAAGGGGAAAAGCUAGUCCUAUCGAAGACUAGCAUCUUCUGGAAACCACCAUCUUGCAGCAACAUGAGGGAGUAGAGUAGUAUAACAUAAGUCAUAUUUAUGUUGUUGUAUCAACGCUCCGGGAUCCUUUCUCGACUCCCGAAGCAACAUAUCCAAAUCAUGCCUCAGCAUCCAGUUCUAAUUGUAUCGAUGGGGAUACAACUCCGAGUGUCCAUUACUGUAGGACAGGCUAUCAAUAGAGGUUUUCUUCCCUGCCGGGGUGCACCAACUUACCCACCACGCUUAAUUAACUCCGGCCGGACACACUUUCCUAGGUCAUGCCUGGCCUCGCCAAACAAUAUGCCGCAACCCGACCUAGGCUUAAUAGAGAGGUCAGCAUGCCAGACUAAACCUAUGCCCCCAGGGGUCAUCGGCCAUCGCCCCGGGUACUCCUGCAUGUUGCGUGGGCGGCCGGUGAGCAGAUCUAGCUACCUCCUUAAAAAGGCAGGUGCUUACGCAUUCCAACCCGGCGCGCGACGCUCAGUCGCUGACGUCUAUUAAGCUUCGGCUGAUGCAUACGACGCAGAACGCCCAUACUAUGCCCACAUGAUGGUUAGUGCUAUCAGGCCAGAGGCCCCUCGAAUCAAAUAUCCAAAUCGUAGUGGAUUAGGAACGCGCGGUAACAAGCAGCGACUCAGGAAAGAUGUGACCCCAUCGCCCCGUCUCGAGGACUUGCGGCAAGGGCUAAGAAUGCCCGGCCACACCUCGUAAUUAUCUCGCGGGCACCUUCCAGGUUAACCCGACUCCACAUCACUCACAAUUAAGCUCGCGCGGGUACCCCUCAGGGCCGACCCGUCUUUAGUAACAUGGUUCAGUGUAAAUUCAUAGUAAUCAUAGUAACCGUGUGUCUAACACCAAGGGGAACCCUGAGGAACCACCCUCGGUGGAUUCCACUCGAUGUAAUCAUCAAGGUGAACGUAAGAGGAACCACCCUCGAUGUUCACACUUGAGGGGUUGCACGACAGAGUCAUAUAGGAAGUGGUUAAGGAGGAAAUCACCCUCGAUGACCAUGACUGAAUAGCUACACUACAGAGAUCUCAUCAGGAGUGAUGUAUGAGGUUCCACCCUCGGCACUCGAUGGUAACUCUGCAGAGUGAGCAACAAAAGGGGCGUGAUGUGAUGUGAUGUGAGGUGUCAGGCUCUGGUCGUCGAUCACGUUGAUCGAGUCAUCGAUGAUGAAGCAGGGGCAACAAGGACAAGGUGGGGGUCACUGAUGGAUCACUAACCAACCUAUACUAAGCAGUUCAGGAUAAGCAGGUAAGGUACAAUAGCAGAUACAAAAGCAGGCUAUGAAUCAGAAUAGGAGAAAACAAUAACAGUAGCAAAAUCUAAUGCAAUCAUGAGAGAAUGAAAUGGGUGAUAUCGGGAUGAUCAAAGGGGGGGCUUGCCUGGUUGCUCCGGCAAGGAGGGGUCCUCGUCGACGUAGUCGAUCACAGGGGCAGCAUCGGUCUCGAGGUCUACCGGAGAGAAGAGGGGGAAGAAACAGUAAAUAUAAAGCAAAAAUAGCAUCACAAAGCAUAACGUGGCAAUAUGUUGUGCCGGGUGUGACCUAUCGUAUGGCUACACGAUAUAGGUGAAGGGGGGAAUUCAACCGGGAAUGUAUUCCCGGUUCCGGACAUGUGUCAGACAGAUGACCGGAGGGGAAUGUUCCAUGUUCAGAUAGUUGGAAGCAUCUGACAGGUAUGUGGUUAGCGUAUUCGGGUUCGUUUAGUCGUUCUGAGCAACUUUCAUGUAUAAAGUUUUUCCAACCGAGCUACGGUUUAUUUUCUAUGAAUUUUCAAAGAUUAAACCAUUUUCCGGAAUUAUUUAAAUUAACAGAAAAGGGAAUUAUGACAUCAGCAUGAGGCAAUGCUAACGUCAGCAGGUCACCAGGUCGGCUAACCAGUCAAACCAGACAGGUGGCGCCCACAUGUCAGGCACUGUAAUUAACAGAGUUUAUAUUAAACUAAUCUGAGGUUAAAUAGCUACUAGGCCCCACAUGUCAGUCUCUAAUUAGUAACUAAUUAGGUUUUAAUUAUUAAAACAUUUUAAUUAAUUAAUAUAGCGGUGAGGCCCGUGUGUUAGUGGCACUGGGCUGCCUGGUGAGCAGUUGGCUGGGUUAACCGGGCCAGCAGUUGGCUGGGCUGCCUGGUGCCCAAGCGGUGCCACGUCGGUGCCAGGUCAGCGCAGGCGACAGAGUGACGCCGACGAGCCUACCCGCGGUGGUGCAUCGCCGGAGUUGGCCGGAAAACGCGUACGGGGCACGGAAAGGGUUGCGACUAGGCAUGUUCGAACGGUCAGUCGACCGCGCGUCGAGUGGUGGUGGUGGCAUCGCCGGACCUGGCUGGAAACGUCGCCGGCGACAAGGUCCGUGGUGAAGCAGCUACGAUCGGCAGCGGAAAAGGUGCUACGGCGUGCUACAGAUCAGGCGAAAGGGCUAGGCGGGAGCAGCAGUCCUCCAGGACCGCGCUGCGGGGACUAGACGGAGCAGGAAGAGCUCGGGAGCUCGUGCGCGGCAGCAAUGGCGGACGGAGGAGCCGGCAUUUACGGCCAGCUAUCUAGGGAAGGAGGAAACCGUGUAAGGAUGGGGAGGAAGGAGGCGGAGCUUAUGGGGCAGGCACACGGAGGCCUCUCGGGGUUCGGGAGCGCAGAGGGAGGCCUGUGGCUCCGGUGAUCGCCGGUGACCACCGAGAAGGGGAAGAGGGUGAUGCUGAUGUCGCCGACCUCCCCGACUCCAGCUAAUGGACGAGGACGGCGCACCUCCCAGGCUCGGUUGCCGGGCUUGGGAACGCCGGUAGCCGCGGGGACGACGGAGAACGGCGGCGAACGCGCUGGAGCGUCGAUGGGGAACGAGGGGGAGAGGCAAGGAGCGGGCGAGGGGAAUCUGUGAGUGGGUGGAGGUAGGUGGGGGAGACCUCGAGGAGCCGGAGGGGGGGCUCUUAUCCACCCGCGGCGUUGCCGGUGAGGUGGUCGGGCGGCGACGAGCCCCUGUAUCAGCGCGCACCGGGGGAACAUAAGGGAGGGGAGAGCGACCAGGGAGUGGGCGUGGGCCGGCCUAGCUGGGCCAGUUGUGCCCAAGUGGGGCAGGGGCUUUCUCUCCCCUCUGCUUUUCCUUUUCUACUUUUCUUUGCUUUUUUUCAGCAGCUUUUGCAUUUGCUUUUAGCCACCAUUGACUUUGCAAAAUUAUGCUACUGGACAAAAUAAUUUCUAAGAAUUAUUGGGCACUGCCACAAAGAGAUUGUGAGGCUUUUGAAAUAGUUUGCAAUUUUUCUAUAUUAAACAUGCAUUUAAUUAAUUGCUUUAGCCAAAGUUUUAACUAGUUUAGGGAACUUAGGCAUUUUGGAAAAAUGUUAGUUCAUCACCAAUAUUACCAGAAGAAUACUUUCCACAUGAUGAACAUUUUAGUUUUCAUGUUUGAGCACUUUGAAUUUUGAAUUUAAUUUGAAUUUGAAGUUGAAUGGUGUUUGAAUGCGAAUGAGGAUUAGCAACAAUAAGAGUGAUGACAUGGCACCAUCAACAGGGGAUUACUGUAGCAUGAUUCUCCGGGUGUUACAAAUCUCCUCCACUACAAGAAAUCUCGUCUCGAGAUUUAAGGGGUGGAGUAAGGGGGAGAGACUCGGGAAGGACGGAGCUCAACACAAGAUAGGUACGUGGGGACUAUCUCAGUGAACAUGGCAUAGAAGCAUCUCUCGAGUUGAAAUUCAUGAAAGUCAUCGAGAGCAAAGUGAGGUGCAAUAAGAAGCUCCAACUGGGUAGGCAAUCGUUUGUUGCCUGAAACAAGGGGUGAAAGGGGUUCAGAGAAAUGGUAAUAAGUAUUGCGUCUGAUACCAGAAUAGAUCGCCUCUCGGAAGGCGGCUCGGGAUUUUCAUAUGAAGCCAAGCGUGAGAAAUAACCUUAGAAACAAAGGUGUACAGGAGAGUCAGGUUUUGAUCUUGUGGAACUAUGGGUUAUGGGCCCACCAUGUGGGUUAAAAGCAAGAAGGCGCUAACAUCUUGAACGGUCAUGAUAGCAAGGCAGGUCAGAGGAUAUCCUGUCAGUUAUGUUGGCAACAAAGUUUGGUACCAAGGGCGUGGGACGAAGAGAACCAUUUUCCUGCUCGUAAGACGAGGCGGACCAAUAGGCAAAGUUAUCAUCUAUCGGUGGUUACCGGGAUGUCAUCAACAAUAGUAACAGGGUCUUACUGACAGAGUUGUACACCAAGGUGCUUACUUAAGCAGGGAUUUAUCUCUGCUCAGACAAGUUAGAUUACAAGAAAGGUGAAACAAAACAAGGGAAAGGAAGACCAAUGGAGAGGAAAGGUGUUUAUACUUUAUACCCAAGUAUUAGAGUAUAACUUUCCCAAGGAAAGGCAUGGCAUGAUAGGGCUCCAAGUAUUAAACCGUUUAGACAAAGGGGUAAGGAAUUUAUGAGGUUUACCCAUACAAUGGUCUUUGGAUAACUGAUCAAGAACAGUUAGCGUUGCGCUCUCAAUGUUCUUAUUGAUGUUCGGAGUACCACUAUCAUGCUUUCGGAUAGCAUUGACAUGGUCAUUAGGUAAAGAUCGGACCUUGGGAAUACAAAGGAUCAAUCAAGAAUUUUUAGAACAUCUUAUGCAAUUUUAUUUGGUAAAAGAUGGGAAGGUGGCUGAUGGGUUCAGCGGCAAUCCAUCGACAUGUCACAAAGGAUGUAUUUCCAAAAUUAUAUGAACAAGUUUGUGUUGGGGCGAAGGCAUAAAUGUUGUCGAUGAUAACACAAAUCAUCGAGGGGUAAGCAUGGUAUUUCUCAUCAUGAAGUAUUGAUAUCCCGGAAGAUUUCAUAAUGUUGAUGAUGAUCACCACAAUUGUGGAGAGAUUUCAUGAAGAUGUAAUCGAUCAGCGAUGACAUCAAGUCAAAGGAAUGAUGAAGCAAAAGGUUAUUGGAACCACGGGUAUGGCACAAACUCGAAAUCAAGCUUGUUGUUCAAGGCGAAAAGAUAUGACAAGGAAAAUGGACGUAGACUUAGCUCAUCGUCGGAAAUUGUGCUUCGGGAAGAAGGACCAGGUAGCACAGUUAAAAUUUAGCAUUAUAAUGAUAUAGCCGAUCGGGCUAGGAAUGACUUGAAGGAUUAUUAAACUCAUAAGCAACGCAAAUUAUUUAGAGUUAUUAAAUUGGAGUGUGGAAUCGAUUCACUUAUCGGCGUUCUCGAGUGACUAACAACUCAAAACCCCGGGAAAUCUGAAAUCGAUGAGAAGCAAUACCAUAUGAAGACUCACAGGAAGCAACACGGUUCUUUGUUAUUCUCAAGAUACCGGAGGGUAAUACUCGAUGGAAGAUAAAAAUAGAGGUUACGAAGAUGCAUUUAUCUACAUAAGACAAGUGCUUUAACUUGUCCGAGAAAUGGAAUCAAAGGGGAACAAUCAUGGUCAGAACCAUGGUUGCAAAGGAUCAAAUCCUAGAUAUAAGAUGAUCUUAUACCAAGGGGAUAAUUAACUUUAAGAGAAGCUUCCAUGAUAAGAUCUACAUCAUGUCCAUGCGCAUGAACACAAAGUUCAAGGUCGACUCCCACUUUUUUUUAAUGCAUAUCAUUCCAUUUACUUCUCGCUUUUGAUGAAGUUGUAGUGUUGAAAUGUUAUCUGGCAAAACACCAGAAGAGUAAGACUCGUUAAAAACUCUUGGGUUCAACGGAUUAGGGGAGGCAUAGGUUCAACCCAUAGGGGCAUCUUAGGAACCUAUUCCACAAACUUCAGAAGUAAACAACACAAGCUUGAAAGCAGAUCAUGGUUGACAAAAGGAGAGGAGACAAUUUACCAAAGGCUUUAUGUAUCCGAGGAAAGGCUCACAAGGUUAUUGCAUAUGAAGGAUGUUGUCACACAAAAUCCAGCAAGGGGUCUAACGAUCCACAACAGAGCUGAUGUGAGUAUCGGUACUCAACUAGAUGAGGAAGAAUGCAAAGGCAUCGAAUUAUAGAAACAUCUGAAUAAUUUGAUGCUUAAAAUGCAAAGAAAUUAUGAUUUCCAGAUCGGUGUAUCAGGAUCAGAUGCUCUGAUUAAAGAUGAGAAAGUUGAAUAGACUUAGAGGCACAACCGAUCAUAAUUCGAUUGGCCAAGGACCAACUCAUAUUCGGAAUGACGUCCAUUUCGGAAGGACAAAUUCUAGGUAUCAACUGUUGAUUGAGUGUAUCCGCACACCUGAUGAAUCAAUAGGGUCAGAAUGACAGUGACAAAGGAUGUCAACGAAGAUUACCAGUCAUAUGGAGUUAACCAUAAUGCAGGAAGGAAAGAACUUUAGUAGCAAUAGGUCGCUGAGGUUUUUCCGAAGAUCGAUUAGCAUUUUGAAGAAUUUGUGAGAAUAACUAGGGAUGAAUGGAUACUCGGUAAGUGCGAGGAAUUAUUCGUAGGGGUAUUCAUGCGGCAAGGAACUGCAAGGCAGUGGCACAAAGGAUCCUCGGAACAAAAGAGAGAAUUUCAAGGUAUCUUGUAGUAACAAGAUCAAUUGGAAAGAAGGUUUGGCCAGCAAGUGUAUGUGGCUAUCCAUAGGGAUUCAUCGAUGUUUGGGAAUUGCAACGACGAAGGGCACAUGGGUCUCGGGAAAACAUUGAAGAGUAUCUUCAGAAUCUUCUUGUGCACCAAGCGACCAUGUGGAAUGAGGGCUCUCUGGGAGGAAGUAGUUACGAGAACCUAAGGUUAGAGUUAGUAAAAACAUUUAACCUGAAUAGAAGAGAGAUCAGAAUCCUAGAGUAUAGACGAGGAAUAAAAGAUCCUAAUACCACCCAAUGGUGACGUGGGCCCGUAAGGCACACAACCAUGUUAGUAAAAUUUUUGUAGUGACUAGACUCGACUUCGGCCAAGGAGUUGGAAGGGGGCUACCUACAGGCAGUCGGCUCUGAUACCAACUUGUGAUGCCCCCGAUUCAAUCGUACACUAAUCAUACACGCAAAUGUGUACGAUCAAGAUCAGGGACUCACGGGAAGAUAUCACAACACAACUCUAGACACAAAUUAAAAUAAUACAAGCUUUAUAUUACAAGCCAGGGGCCUCAAGGGCUCGAAUACAUCAGCUCGAAUACAAACGAGUCAGUGGAAGCAACAAUAUCUGAGUACAGACAUGAGUUAAACAAGUUUGCCUUAAGAAGGCUAGCACAAAAGCAAC
rnacentral:lncRNA from 1 species